AGUGUACUAAUAUUUUAUUUUAAAAAAUUUAUAUUGGAAAUAGGGGUAGUGUUAUUGUAUUUUAAGGAUUUAAUUUUAUUAAUUAUAGUUGAUUUGUACUGUUAAGGGAUUAUUAAUAAUUAAUAUUUUAUAAGUUGAUUUGGUUUAUUGUACCUUGUGUAUCAGGAUUUAUUAAAAUGGAAAAAUGUAAGUUAUUAUUCUCGAUAUUUGAGGAGCUAAUUAAUUAAUAUGGUUAUUGUUAUAUAAUUAUUAUAAAUAUUUAAUUAGUGGUGAAAUGUUAUUCGAUUUGAAGGGUAUCUAGUUUUCUUGGAAAUGAAUUUAAUUUAUAUUUUGAUUUUAAUUAGUUGAGUGGGGAAGGUAGUUUGAAUUGAAAUAAAUAUUUAAGGGGGUUAGCUCUUGAAUAUGUUUAUAUAAUUUGUAUUGGUUAUGAAGAUGUUGAUUUAAUGUUAAUUAUCAUUUUGAGGAUGUAAAAAUUUUAAUUUUGUUUUCUGUUCAUUUGUUUUGGAAUUUAUUUUUUUUACUUGAAUAAAUUAUUUAAUUUUUAUUGUUGUUGGGAAUAUGAUGGAAUUAGUAAAUUAUGGGUUUAUAAAUUGGUUUAAUUUGGGAAUUUUAUUUGAGGAAUUUGGCAAAAUUUAUAUUCGCCUGUUUAUCAAAAACAUCUUUUUUUGGAUUAAAUUAGAAGUAUGACCUGCCCACUGAAUAAGUAAUUUGAAGGGCCGCGGUAAUUUGACCGUGCAAAGGUAGCAUAAUCAUUAGUUUUUUAAUUGGAGGCUGGAAUGAAUGGUUGGACGAAAUAUGAUCUAUCUGAAAUUGAUUGAUAAUUGAAUUUAAAUAUUGAGUAAGAAUGCUUAAAUAUUUUUAUGGGACGAGAAGACCCUAUAGAGUUUUAUAUAAUAAUUUUAUUUAAUGUUUGUUAUAUUAAAGGUUAUAUUGUUAUAUUUGGUUGGGGUGAUUAUGAAAUAUAAAGAGCUUUUAUGUUUGGAAUACAUUGAUUUAUGAUUGAGUGAUCCAUUAAUGAUGAUUUGAAGUGAAAAUUACCUUAGGGAUAACAGCGUAAUUUUCUUUGAGAGUUCUUAUUGACAAGGGAGAUUACGACCUCGAUGUUGAAUUAAGAUGAAUAUUAGGUGUAGAAGUUUAAUUGAAAUAUUAGGUCUGUUCGACCUUUAAAAUCUUACAUGAUUUGAGUUCAGACCGGCGUGAGCCAGGUUGGUUUCUAUCUAUAAUUAAUAUGAAUUUUUUAGUACGAGAGGACCAAAAAUUUGGAAUAAUUUUUAUUGUUAGUAUAUUGUUGAUAU
rnacentral:rRNA from 1 species